rnacentral:rRNA from 1 species
GAUGAACGCUAGCGGCAGGCUUAAUACAUGCAAGUCGAGGGACAGCACAGGUAGCAAUACUGGGUGGUAACCGGCAAACGGGUGCGGAACACGUACACAACCUUCCUUUAAGUGGGGGAUAGCCCAGAGAAAUUUGGAUUAAUACCCCGUAAUAUAGUUGAAUGGCAUCAUUUGAUUAUUAUAGCUACGGCGCUUAAUGAUGGGUGUGCGGCUGAUUAGAUAGUCGGCGGGGUAACGGCCCACAAAGUCUACAAUCAUGAGCUGAUGGUAGAGCAUGAUCAGCCACACGGGAACUGAGACACGGGCCCGGCUCCUACGGGAGGCAGCAGUAAGGAAUAUUUGUCGAUGGGCGCAAGUCUGAACCAGUCAUGCCGCGUGAAGGAUUAAGGUCCUCUGGAUUGUAAACUUCUUUUAUUUGGGACGAAAAAGGGUCUUUCUAGGUCAACUGACGGUACCAGAUGAAUAAGCACCGGCUAACUCCGUGCCAGCCGCCGCCGUAA